UACAGAGGUCCCGAGCGUUGUUCGGAUUCACUGGGCGUAAAGGGUGCGUAGGUGGUCUCGCAAGUCUGAUGUGAAAUCUCCGGGCUUAACCCGGAAAUGGCAUUGGAAACUGCGGGGCUAGAGUGUUGGAGGGGGGACUGGAAUUCUCGGUGUAGCAGUGAAAUGCGUAGAUAUGUGGAGGAAUACCGAUGGCGAAGGCAGCCCCCUGGGAUAACACUGACGCUCAUGCACGAAAGCGUGGGGAGCAAACAGG
rnacentral:rRNA from 1 species